rnacentral:rRNA from 1 species
GAUGAACGCUGGCGGCGUGCCUAAUACAUGCAAGUCGAGCGAACAGACGAGGAGCUUGCUCCUCUGACGUUAGCGGCGGACGGGUGAGUAACACGUGGAUAACCUACCUAUAAGACUGGGAUAACUUCGGGAAACCGGAGCUAAUACCGGAUAAUAUAUUGAACCGCAUGGUUCAAUAGUGAAAGAAGGUUUUGCUGUAACUUAUAGAUGGAUCCUCGCCGCAUUAGCUAGUUGGUAAGGUAACGGCUUACCAAGGCAACGAUGCGUAUCCGACCUGAGAGGAUGAUCGGCCACACUGGAACUGAGACACGGUCCAGACUCCUACGGGAGGCAGCAGUAGGGAAUCUUCCGCAAUGGGCGAAAGCCUGACCGAGCAACGCCGCGUGAGUGAUGAAGGUCUUCGGAUCGUAAAACUCUGUUAUUAGGGAAGAACAAAUGUGUAAGUAACUAUGCACGUCUUGACGGUACCUAAUCAGAAAGCCACGGCUAACUACGUG